UUUCCUCCCUCCAUCAUGAGUUUCCUGAGAGUGUCUCAGAUCUGAAACUUCUCCUUCUACUUUCAAUCUUUGAAAGAGUCCAAAUCAAGAAGAAGGAGGCACCUGAUCAACCAUCAAAGAAGGAUCAGCGUAGUACUAGCAUACUGUGCUGAUUUCCUGAAGCAGGACUUCUGAUCGAGAUUCGUGGGCUCGUGUAGAUGACUCCUAGAGGUCGGACACAUGUGCAGCUUGCAACAUCAUCCUUAAGGCCGGAUCAG
rnacentral:lncRNA from 1 species